AGCGAACGCUGGUGGCAGGCCUAACACAUGCAAGUCGAACGGACCCUUCGGGGUUAGUGGCGGACGGGUGAGUAACACGUGGGAACGUGCCUUUAGGUUCGGAAUAGCUCCUGGAAACGGGUGGUAAUGCCGAAUGUGCCCUUCGGGGGAAAGAUUUAUCGCCUUUAGAGCGGCCCGCGUCUGAUUAGCUAGUUGGUGAGGUAACGGCUCACCAAGGCGACGAUCAGUAGCUGGUCUGAGAGGAUGACCAGCCACACUGGGACUGAGACACGGCCCAGACUCCUACGGGAGGCAGCAGUGGGGAAUCUUGCGCAAUGGGCGAAAGCCUGACGCAGCCAUGCCGCGUGAAUGAUGAAGGUCUUAGGAUUGUAAAAUUCUUUCACCGGGGACGAUAAUGACGGUACCCGGAGAAGAAGCCCCGGCUAACUUCGUG
rnacentral:rRNA from 1 species